GGCGUAUAAAACCAACAAGUGUCAUUCGCGCUUUCGGCACAAGACGUUCGACAUCGCGCAGAACGAUAAAUGCAAAGUAUAGCCCACUGUAUCCAACGCCGUUCAGAUCUUUGCUUCUUGUGUGAUAAAGCGAAGGAUCUCUUUACUGGUUCACUAGAAGAAACCCCACCAUGGAAUAAUAAACACGUCCCUUUUUACGUUACACCUGAAUCCACAUAAAGGGCAACAUCGAAACAGCCUUACUACAGUCCAAACCAGAGGUAUUACAUUUUUCACGUUUUUCCAAUGGUCUUCUGAAGGUCUUCGUUACAUCUGGUCUUCUUUGGGGAAAGUACUAAGAAAGAAGACAGAUGAGACGUGAAUCACGUAGCUACAAUCCCAAAAAACGGACUUUAAGAGUUUUCAAAACACACUGUUUACUGCACAUGUUUAUCGUGCAAGUGAAAGUUUGAGCGAGGGGCAAACCAUGGAUUUACACAAGUGGACGUACAAUCAAGAGGAAUAAAACUUUUUGUCUUCAAA